GGACGAGAGCAGGCGGGAGCAGCCGGGGGCGGGGACAAAAAUCCGCUGUCAAGUCGGACACGUUUUCCAUUAGCCUUCAAAGCAUAUAAAGGAAGUCACAAACAUGUUUACAUCCUGUUUGAUCAUCUGCAGGCUACCUGUAGUUUGCAGAAAUGGUUGAGGAAAUCGCAUAUGCGUUUUUGAUGGCUGAGGAAAUUCAAUAUGAAGAGAUGCCCCUUCUUAUCCAUGAAGAUCGACUUCAACAGAGAAGGUUGGUUCCAAAGAUCCCACAUUUUGUUGAGGAAGUCGUACCUUUGUACAAUGUGACUGACUUUAAAAGUCAUUUCAGACUGUCGAGAGGACAAGUAGAGGAUGUAAUGACGAUGUUGGGACCAUUCUAUACAAACAGACAGCACACCAAGUUGCCUGUAACCUACGCUUUCUUGCCUGCCUGUGGACUCUAGCCAACCAGGAGUCAUAUAGGGGUGUUGCAGACAGAUUCAACAUUUCAAAAUCCACCAUGUCAACCGAUCUCCAUCACUUCUGUUCCCUGGUCAACACACAUCUGUCACAUCACAUUUCAUGGCCCACAGGGGAAGCACUUCACACAUCGCAAUUACAUUUUCAAACAGCCGGCUUUCCAAAAACAGUCUGUGCUCUUGAUGGAUGUCACAUUCCCAUUGUCAAACCGUUUUGCAACAACCCCAUAGCCUAUUAUAACAGGAAACAGUUUUACUCCAUCAUUCUCACGGGAUUCUGUGACAGCGAGCGCCGCUUUUGUCAUGUCAGUGUAGGUCACCCUGGAAGUUGGCAUGAUGCAAGAGCAUUUCGAUACUGAUGUAGCACGACAACUGGAAUUGAAUCCUCAGGGUCUGGUACCAGAGGGAAUGCACAUCAUUGCUGAUUCAGCCUACCCUUUGUUGCUACAUUUGAUGAAGCCCUACAGGGAUAAUGGGCGCUUUAACAGAAAGCUCAAUACAGCUCAUGUGGCCAUUGAGCAUGCAUUUGGCAUCUUAAAGACAAAGUUCAGGAGGCUCAAGUGUCUGCACAUGAAAUAAGUGGCAAACAUCAGUGCAGCAGUCACAUUCUACACAUUUGUUUAGAUUCUGGUGACCGGGUUGAUGAAGAUGAGCAAGGUCUUCUUCAACAGGACAUUGAGGAGCCACACCCACCACAGCCCAACAACCUUGAUGCCUUCCAUUACAGAGACAUGAUUUGUGCCCACCUUUAAGGAUAAGACACACUUUAGUUUACAGUCAUACCCCCUUUUUUCCUCUUUCAUUUACAGGUUUUUGUGAGCUGGUGUGCAGUAUGCCACCGGGUGAUGUGAGGCACCUUGGGUCAAAUGCCAAGUUCAAAGUAGUAAUACAAUGUUGCAGUGUUUUAAAAAGGCUCUAAGGAGGGUUGCAGCAAAUGUGUAAGGGUCAUAUAACAAUUUAAUGACUAACUUUUGAGAUGGUUACCAUACAGUUUUAACCCUAAGGCAUUUUGAUUUGAAGUGCCUCUACAUUAUCAAGACUUCUGCUGUGCCUCUGAGUGGCAGCUCAUGGUAACUGGGUGGGAAGAACCCAGGCUAAAUCAGCAGGGGAUCGUGGGAGUAUUUCACCACUGUGACCACUCAUUUUCUGGUGUUAAAGUUUCUUUAUGUAUCAAUACGACAGCCACAUAAUAUCAUUUAACAUCUUUAUUUUCAGUUAGGUCAAGAUUUGACCCAUGCAGGUCACCAUCUUCUUUUCACGUGACCUUAUUUUUUCUUUUAGGCGUCUCCACCGUGUCACUUCUGGCCUCACCAGUGACUCCAACGCAGCCGUCCUUCUCUCAGCAUGGGCCCGGUAUGCAUCAUGGAAUGAUGUGGUGCCCUUUUUCUGUGCGGUACGUUUUGUAGUGGGGAUGGCAGUUGAGGGACCAGGCUGGGGAUCUUCAUUGUCGGAUGGAUGAAUAACUUCUGAGGGAGUUUGACUAGGGAGGAGUGGUGAUGGAUUUUGACUGGGGAAGAGUGGUGUGGAAAUAAUGGUGCCGAGUGGUGCACUCCCCACCCCGGAGCCACCAAAUAUUUCAUCCAUUUGCUGUAAAAAAAGGACAGUUUUAGUUAACAUCAAGACAGACACAAAUAGGUAUUUUAACAUUCCUUGCUGUGAUAAUGUACCCCCUUCCAGAGUGUGCUGAUGAAGCCCUAUAGCUGUGGGUGGAAAAAUACUGAGAAAGAAUUAUGGAAGACUGAUAACAUUUCAGAAAGUCCCACUAUAACAUUUAAGAUGUACAUACAGAGCAGGCACUUACCAGGUAUAGGUAAUAUACCCAGCUGAUUUUGCCCUCUCCUGUUGCUCGUGAUCUGUCCUUAGCCCUUUUGUGGUAAAGUGGUAAGCAUGUUACCAAGUUUCUUCCUUAUCCAGUGUGAAUGUGUAUCCUCUUUCUGUGAAGGUAUGUUCCAGUUUUUUUGUAAAAGGCUGUUUUGUUGUUGUAGAUGUGUUGGUAUUGUCUGUUAGCUCCAGUAGCAGCAAUGUAGUUCUGUGUGUGAAUUCUGUAAAAACAUUGCAGUGUUGUUAAAAG